UACGUAGGUGGCAAGCGUUGUCCGGAUUUACUGGGCGUAAAGAGCGCGCAGGCGGUCGUGCAAGUCGCGUGUGAAAGCCCCCGGCUCAACUGGGGAGGGUCACGCGAUACUGUUCGACUCGAAGGCAGGAGAGGGAAGUGAAAUUCCCGGUGUAGUGGUGAAAUGCGUAGAUAUCGGGAGGAACACCAGUGGCGAAGGCGACUUCCUGGCCUGUUCUUGACGCUGAGGCGCGAAAGCUAGGGUAGCAAACGGG
rnacentral:rRNA from 1 species